UUUCUGUGGGUCAGGAACUUGGGAGCUAAAUUCUGGUUCAGGGCCUCCCAUAAAGUUGCGUGAAGAUGUCACCUGGGGCUGUGAUCAUCUGAAGGCCUGACUGGUGCUGGAGAAUCCACUCCCUGGGGGACUCACUCACGUGACUGGCAACAGGAGCACUCACAUUGCAUUGUUGAGGGUAGACCGGCUGAGCGUGAGGGGAACCUACCACAGGGAACAGAGGAGGGAGAUGACGAGUAUUGUGUGCACCUUGAGACAAGCUGCAGCAGCAAGGACCAAGCAGAAGACGGAAGAGCAUUUCCUGACACUUAGUAAAUGAACGAAGUCUAACUGAGAGAUGAUUUUUAAGUACCUGCUCAGAGCCAGACACUGUGGCAGCCCCUGGGCUCCAACAGUGACAAAGAGAAACACGGUGCCUGCUGUGAUAACGCGGCAGUUUGGGGCAUGGGGAACUUAAGUGGCAUGCAUGCGUACAACAGAUAAAGGCAGAGCCACUGAGAUUCAGGACCAGCUCCAAGGCACCUCGGCUUACACACGUGGAGAAGCCUCUGUUCCCGCGUUCACUUUAUUGCAGGCCCAGCUGACGUCUUCUU
rnacentral:lncRNA from 1 species